rnacentral:rRNA from 1 species
AACGAACGCUGGCGGCAGGCCUAACACAUGCAAGUCGAGCGAGAUCUUCGGAUCUAGCGGCGGACGGGUGAGUAACGCGUGGGGAUGUGCCCUUUGCUACGGAAUAGUCCCGGGAAACUGGGUUUAAUACCGUAUGUGCCCUUCGGGGGAAAGAUUUAUCGGCAAAGGAUCAACCCGCGUUGGAUUAGGUAGUUGGUGGGGUAAUGGCCUACCAAGCCGACGAUCCAUAGCUGGUUUGAGAGGAUGAUCAGCCACACUGGGACUGAGACACGGCCCAGACUCCUACGGGAGGCAGCAGUGGGGAAUCUUAGACAAUGGGGCAACCCUGAUCUAGCCAUGCCGCGUGAACGAUGAAGGCCUUAGGGUUGUAAAGUUCUUUCAGCUGGGAAGAUAAUGACGGUACCAGCAGAAGAAGCCCCGG